CGGCGUGCUUAACACAUGCAAGUCGAACGAGAAAGCACCUUCGGGUGUGAGUAGAGUGGCGCACGGGUGAGUAAUGGAUAGGAACGUGCCUUUGGGAGGGGGAUAACCACAGGAAAGUGUGGCUAAUACCGCAUGGUCUCGCAAGAGUAAAGGUGGCCUCUACUUGUAAGCUACCACCCAAAGAUCGGCCUAUCUCCCAUUAGCUUGUUGGUGAGGUAACGGCUCACCAAGGCAACGAUGGGUAGCUGGUCUGAGAGGAUGAUCAGCCACACUGGGACUGAGUCACGGCCCAGACUCCUACGGGAGGCAGCAGUGGGGAAUUUUGCACAAUGGGCGCAAGCCUGAUGCAGCAACGUCGCGUGAAUGAAGAAGGCCCUUGGGUUGUAAAGUUCUUUCGGCUAGGAAGCAGGAACUCAGUGAAAAUAUUGCUGGGUUCUGACGGUACUAGAAGAAGAAGCACCGGCUAACUCCGUGCCAGCAGCCGCGGUAAUACGGAGGGUGCAAGCGUUGUUCGGAAUGACUGGGCGUAAAGAGCACGUAGGCGGGCUAGUAAGUCAAUUGUGAAAGCCCAGAGCUUAACUUUGGAAUUGCAGUUGAAACUGCUAGUCUUGAAUACCUGAGAGGGUGGGAGAAUUCCUGGUGUAGAUGUGAAAUUCGUAGAUAUCAGGAGGAAUAUCCGAGGCGAAGGC
rnacentral:rRNA from 1 species